rnacentral:lncRNA from 1 species
CCUCUUCGUGCUCUCGGACACUUCAGCUGAGGGUCGCGACACGCCGCCUCCAGAGGAAUCUCGUCGAGGCAAUGAGGAGGAAACUGGCGAGACUCUGGAAGAAGCGCGUACCUCUCCAGCUGCCCGUGAAUCGAGUGUCAGGGCUUCGGAGCUCUCCGCCCUCAACGACCGUGAAAGCGAUCGAGAUAACUAGCUUCUCUUGUAUGUUGUUUCCUUUAAGUCCCGGAGGACGUGUGUUGUCGUUUAAACUUUGGCCCUUUGAGGCUUUUAUCCUGUUGUCUUUUCUUUUGAAUUUUCAACUCUUUGACUUUGAAUCAUAUCGACUUGUUGUCUUUAUUAUAUU